rnacentral:rRNA from 1 species
AUUGAACGCUGGCGGCAGGCCUAACACAUGCAAGUCGAGCGGAGCGGCGGACGGGUGAGUAAUGCCUAGGAAUCUGCCUGGUAGUGGGGGAUAACGUCCGGAAACGGGAGCUAAUACAGCAUACUCUCAGAUGAGCCUAGGUCGGAUUAGCUAGUUGGUGGGUUAAAGGCCUACCUAGGCGACGAUCCGUACCUGGUCUGAGAGGAUGAUCAGUCACACUGGAACGGAGACACGGUCCAGAGUCUUAGGGGAGGAAGCAGUGGGGAACAUUGGACAAUGGGGGAAAGCCUGAGCAAGCCAUGCCGCUGGGGUGAAGAAGGUCUUCGGAUUGUAAGGUACUUGCAGCGGGGAGGCGUUACCCGCAGAAGAAGCACCGGCUAACUCCGUGCCAGCAGCCGCGGUAAUAC